GUCGUAACAAGGUUUCCGUAGGUGAACCUGCGGAAGGAUCAUUACCAGAACAACACAAGAUGCAGGAAACACGGGCGGGCGUGGGGUAGCCCGCAUCGAUUGCGCCCCCGGGACAGGCAGGGGCCGUAGACCCCAGGGAGAGAGGUUGAAGCCCCCGCCUCGGCUAACACCCGAGGCGGCCGGCGCGCCCCGCCCGUCCCUCUGCCGCCCGGGUGGCCGGUUUCCAAUGCCCACUCUCUGCGUACACCACCGCUGUUGCUUCCCCAGGGGAUCAAUCUCCCCUGGGGGAGGUCCCCGAGCAAGCCUCGCCGCCCAACCCACCGGCGGCCCCUCCGUCUGAUGGCCAGCGCGCCAAGGAAGCUAGAAGGAGAAAACAAAAGAAAACUUUCAACAACGGAUCUCUUGGUUCCCGCAUCGAUGAAGAACGCAGCGAAAUGCGAUAAGUAAUGUGAAUUGCAGAAUUCAGUGAAUCAUCGAAUCUUUGAACGCACAUUGCGCCCCCUGGCAUUCCGGGGGGCAUGCCUGUUCGAGCGUCUCUGGGACGAAAACCUCGCGCAAAGUGAAGGCGCGGUCGUGGCGGUGGUGGCGUGCCGGGAGAGGCGGCCACCCCGCCGGAAUCCAUGGGCGGACGCCUGCCGCGUGGCCGAGCGUGAUAUGACGCAUGUGCGCCCGCGCGUGGCGAGGCUGCCAGCCCUUGCCCGCUCAGUUCGGGCGGGGUAGAGCAAGACAUUGGAACUCCUCGAAUCAGGUAGGGAUACCCGCUGAACUUAAGCAUAUCAAUAAGCGGAGGA
rnacentral:misc_RNA from 1 species